rnacentral:tRNA from 1 species
GGAGAGGUGGCCGAGCGGUUGAAGGCGCACGCCUGGAAAGUGUGUAUACGCUAACCGCGUAUCGAGGGUUCGAAUCCCUCCCUCUCCG